rnacentral:rRNA from 1 species
AUUGAACGCUGGCGGCAGGCCUAACACAUGCAAGUCGAGCGAGCGGCGGACGGGUGAGUAAUGUCUGGGAAACCGCCUGAUGGAGGGGGAUAACUACUGGAAACGGUAGCUAAUACCGCCUACCCUCAGACGUGCCCAGAUGGGAUGAGCUAGUCGGUGGGGUAAUGGCGCACAUAGUCGACGAUCCCUAGCUGGUCUGAGAGGAUGACCAGCCACACGGGAACUGGGACACGGUCCAGACUCCUACGGGAGGCAGCAGUGGGGAAUAUUGCACAAUUGGGGCAAGCCUGAUGCAGCCAUGCCGCGUGUAUGAAGAAGGCCUUCGGGUUGUAAAGUACUUUCAGCGAGGAGGCGUUACUCGCAGAAGAAGCACCGGCUAACUCCGUGCCAGCAGCCGCGGUAAUAC